rnacentral:rRNA from 1 species
GGUCCCACCUGCCCAGUGACUUUUUAAACGGCCGCGGUAUCCUAACCGUGCAAAGGUAGCAUAAUCACUUGUCCUCUAAAUAAGGACUAGAAUGAAUGGUCAAAUGAGGACUAAACUGUCUCUUACAUCUAACCAAUAAAACUGAUCUUUUAGUUAAAAAGCUAAAAUAUACUCAUAAGACGAGAAGACCCUGUGGAGCUUAAAACCAAACCCAUUAAUUAUGACCCCUUGGUUUUUAGUUGGGGCGACUUCGGAGUACAAAAAACCCUCCAAUAUGGAUUUAUACUAAGAACAACACAUCAAAGUAUAAACACCUAGACCCAAUACUUCCAGUAAUAAUUGAUCAAUGAACCAAGUUACCCCAGGGAUAACAGCGCUAUCCUCUUCCAGAGUCCAUAUCGACAAGAGGGUUUACGACCUCGAUGUUGGAUCAGGACACCCAAAUAGUGCAGCCGCUAUUAAAGGUUCGUUUGUUCAACGAUAAAAGUCCUA